rnacentral:lncRNA from 1 species
UUUAUGCCUAAUCUCUAUGGGAGCAUGGCUCUUUAAUCCAUUUACCUUCACCAUAGGGACUCGUGGGAACUGCGAGCCAAUUGUUUGUGCCAUAGUUCUGUGGAUUAUCAUAUGUAUUAUGAAUGGUGUAAGUUUUGCUCCCUUUGAUAACUUUUAACCUUGAGGGCACUUAUUAGUGAUGAUUAAGUGUUAAUCAUGGACCAUAAGAUUCUUAGUUUUAUGUUGGUGUGAUGACUUUCUUAUGCUGUUCACCUUUUAUAUCCAAUCAUUUAUGCACUUCCUCUUGUUCUAGUUCUAAAUCCACGCAACAUUCAAGCUGGUUCAAAACCUUUUCUCCAAACUUGGGGUGCCACACAACAAAAGUCUAGCCAAGGUUCUAAUUGUAAAGGAGGAAGUUUUCUUUUUGAUUCAUUGCUUCGUUUGAGAGAUUUGCUAACAAGAGAGAGGAUAUUAUUUGGGCUUCUCUCUGCAUCGGUGUUCUUCUUUUGGACCUGGCUUUUCUUUUAUCUUUACCAAUGGGAGUUUCUCAAUGAGGCACUCUUAUACCAUCUUACACGCACUGAUCCGAGGCACAACUUCUCCAUAUAUUUUUAUCACAUCUAUCUUCAUCAUGAACGUGAAUUUUCAAUAUUGGAGAAGCUUGUAUCUUUUUUGCCUCAGUUGACGGUGCAACUUGUUCUUAUUUUCCGCUACGCACAAGACCUCCCAUUCUGCCUCUUUGUCCAGACAGUGGCUUUUGUAGCAUUCAAUAAGGUACUUGAGUUUGUGAUCAAUUUCUUUUCAUUUCUAAAGCAUAACUUCUAUCUAAAUAUAACGUCUUAUAGAUUCUUCUUAGUGAUGCGUUUUCCCCCAUAUUUUGAGAUUGAUUGUUACGCAUACAUGUGGAAUUAUGUUUUAUCAUCAUCUUGGUUGUUGAUUCCAAACCAAGAAUGGUUAACAACUGUGACAUAUUAUAUGUAAGGUAACUGCAGCUUCUUGCUAUAAUAAAUCUGGGAUGAUCUUUAUGCAUCACAAUUUUAUUAACAGAUGAUAGAUAUUAAUCAUUGACAGGUUGUCACAGCGCAAUAUUUUGUAUGGUUCUUCUGCCUGCUUCCCUUAUUGCUGCCAUGGAGUAAUAAGAAUAUCAGAUGGGAAGGUUUAUCGUGCAUUCUCAUAUGGAUGGGUGCGCAACUGCAUUGGCUGAUGUGGGGUUAUAUGUUGGAAUUCAAAGGGAAGAAUGUCUUUGUUCAGUUAUGGGUUGCAGGUUUAUUGUUCUUGGCUGCAAACACAUGGGUUCUCAUCAAGAUAAUGUGUCGGCACAAAUUUUCCCCCAUUUUCAUUGCGUCACAGAAGACAAGUGUCAAAAGUGCUAGAAAACUACAAUGACGGAGCAGUUAGUUUUUGCUCGUGGUGCACUUUUUGUUGUAGUCUUAAGUUACAUAUGUUGGAAUUUAUUUCUUAAGAUGUGGGCAAUUUUACAAUUCCACCCCGAAAUAUUGCACUUUCACAAGAUGAUGUUGAAUGAUGUAAGAUGAAAAUUCCUUCAGAAGCAUUUUGAACAAUCAGGACAUUCUAACAGCAAAAGUGAGUUGUGCCAACCUGCAUUAAACAUUUUUUACUGCCAAUCCAUUAGCAUUGAAUAUGAUAUCAAAUGAACAUUUCCUUGUAAUUGGUUAUAUCUUGGUAAAUCCAGUUUCACAGGGUACUGAAGAUAGUAGGGAACACAGAAGUAUAUUACUUAAAAAAAUGGCAUGAAAAGUAACAAAACCAAGAUGGCAAGAUCCAGAUAUUAUGAUUCAGUUAGAAGUCUAGAGUCAAUAAAAGUCUAGAUCUUAUCAAUCUAAUAAGAAGAGUUUGAGUAGGAUUCAUGUUAUCAACCAUGGCAUAUAAAAUCGAGAACACAAACAUCAGUUUCUUCUUCUUCUUCUUUUAUCUUGAGUUGUUAUUGACAGAGAGAGAGAGAAAGAGAUCAGAGAUAAUGGUGUUGGCAAGAAGACCAGCACAAGUGUUGAUUUAUUUUGUGUUGGUCUGUUUGUUUCAUCAGAGUAGUGCGCGUGCACUUUAUGGAGGGUCUUCUGAGAAAAGCGAACCUCCUGCAUCUGCAUCUGCAUCUGUGGAACUCAAUUCUACUAAUUUUGAUGAAUUAGUUUUGAAAAGUAACAAUAUUUGGAUGGUAGACUUCUUUGCACCCUGGUGUAAAUUUUCUAACGAGCUGGCACCUAAUUGGGAGAAAGCUGCAAAUAUGUUGAAGGGGAAGGUGAAGUUAGGUCAUGUUGAUUGUCAAGCUGAACAGUCUCUGGCGAGAAGGUUCCAUGUGCAUGGAUUCCCAAGUAUUAGAGUAUUUAGUGUCGAUAAAGAUAUCCCAUUUUCCUAUGAGGAAUCUAGAGCUGCCUCUUCAAACCACAAAGAAAGAAGAUCUGCCUCUGGGAUCGAAUCAUUUGCACUAGACCAUUUGAAGAAUCCACUCACUCAUGGAAGAUGUAACACCCAUGAGUUGGUGUUAGUCCCACAUUGCCAAGAAAGUGGUUGUAUUGGUAGUAUAUAGAGCUUAACCAUACUCUAACUAAUGUUAAGGCCUUUUGGGGUGAACCACAUGGGUGGGCCCUGAUCCAAAACCCAAUACAGUUGGAUAUCCGCAGUGACUAAAGAGGGACAAUAUUGACAUUAGCGAGCGGUAUGGUGCUCGACGCACUGGGAUGAGCGAGGACGAAAUCCCGGGGCAUUACAGUUGGUAUCAAAGCCGACGACGGGUCGCCUGUUGCAGGUGGGAAAGUACGCUGGAAGGGCCUAGGGAGCGCCAGGUACUUGUCUCACUUGGCAGGGAACGUCAAAGAUUUUGGGACUGUACUGAGUGUACUGCAGAGCCGAGGACGGCUCUAUUUCUAAGGUGGUGAGAUUGUAACACCCAUGAGUUGGUGUUAGUCCCAUAGUACCAAGGAAGUGGUUGUGUUGGUAGUAUAUAGAGCUUAACCAUACUCUAACUAAUGUCAAGGCCUUUUGGGGUAAGCCACAUGGGUGGGCCCUGAUCCAAAACCCUCUACUGCUGGAUAUCCGCAGUGACUAAAGGGGGACAAUAUUGACAUUAGCGAGCAGUAUGGUGCACGACGCACCGGGAUGAGCGAGGACGAAAUCCUGGGGCGUUACAGAAUAAGCAUGCGUUAUUACUAAGUCUUGAUCAGGUCAACCUGUUAGAGUGGCCUCUUUUACCAAAAGAUGCUUUUAUAAAUCCCGGCCAAGAAGAUGAUGUUUUAGCUGGAGUAAGGGAGGAUGUUUGAACUAGUCCAGUAAGGGAAGAUGUUAAAGUUUAUCCAAAAGUUAUUUGUUUUCAUUAGAAGUCGAGAGUCAAUUAAGCUUUUAGUUCUUAUCAAUCUUUGUAGUAGGAAAUUUUUUAUUACGAAUCAUUCAUGUUAUCUGCCGUGGCCUAUAUAAAGGCGCGCGAUGGCAGUAAUUUGUUUUUCGAUACAUUCAAGUUAAUAUUACAAAUUUACAAUAAAGCAAAUUUCUCUUUAUCCAUAUAUUUCUUUCUUCGUGCUUUCUUCUAGUUUUAGGUGAUUAACUCCUUCACUUCUAAGUUGCAACUCUGGAACCUGACCAGGGCUGGUUGGCUAGGAAAGCAGGUUGUUUGUGUGCACCAACACUGAGAUCAACAGGGAGCAAUUCAUACUCAACACCCUUCUCUAUGACUAUCAAACAUGUGUGCAUUUAGACAAAAUGGGAAUCCAUAAACCUUAACAACAUGUGUUUAAGAUGUUGCUAGACAAGUUUUUUAUAUAUUAGUUAAACUAAGAUCAAAACAUAUGUUUGCAAAGAGAAUGUGGAAGCAAGUAUCGCUUCUUGUUCCAUUACCUCAACAGUGAUGAUAGCUUAGCUUAUACAGCACCCUUGCUGUUCAAGAAAGAAGAUAUCAUGCCUACUUAUUCACCGUACUGAUCAUCUUAUCCUUGUUCUUGUGAGCCACAAAUUAAAUCACUAACAAAUGUUUUAACACGUAUAUUUCUGGCGAAACAUACUCAUUUCAAGGUAGUAAAUAUUAAAUCAAAAUGCUCGUUUGACGCCAUGAAUUAGAUUGUCUUGCCAUUACAUAAAUGAUUGUUGUUCCUUACAUUAUGUGGUCAAAAGACAAGCCAUGUAUCCUCUUUUAAAUUCCCUUACAGGUGCAACAUCUAUAGCAUAUAGGUGUUCGAACCAGGAUUAAGAGCUUCAUAAUUCCCCUGUUCUUUGCUAACUCGAUCUAUACCUUGUUUGAUAGUUUAUAACACUAUACAAUUGGUCAGUUGCUAUGGCUCCCGGCCUCAUGAUCCUAAGAGUCAGCAGUUCAGAGUUAGGAAGGGAGAAAGUCUUGGGUAGUGUCUGUCAAUCUAAACAAAAAGCUCUGUGUACACAAUACCAAUAACAAUAACAGUAAUUCAUCUCUAGAAUAUACACGAACCAUGCGUGCAUUAAGGAAGUAUUAUUACAAAUACAUUAACAUGAACAUAUAGGAAAAAUUCCGAAAAAUACAUAUAUAAAAGCAAGAGCGAUAUUUGCUUCAUUAGCUCAUAUUUCUUGUCGAUCCAAACUUAGACAUUUGCAUUUGCCCGAACUUUCUGGAAAUAAGGCCUGGAUGAAAUAUCCUCCCACCAAGCCUUAACAUGAGGCCUAGAAUUGAUUAAAGAGGCCAAUGGAGUCUUCAUCAAGAAAAAUGUAUAUGGAAUAUGGUUCUGAUCGGCCAAACUAUAGAAAUUCCCAGCUAAGUAUUUGUUUUCAGUGAGCCUAGCUUCAUACACAUCCAAAACGUUUCCGAGCUUUUCAGAUUGAGCAUCAACAACGGCCUGAUCGGUUGUCAUUCCAUACAUGCCUUUAAUAACAAGUUCAUAGACUAUUGUAGAGAUUGGUGGGUUGUAUUGUUGUGAUUCUACUUCUGCCCAUACACCAACCAAUGCAGUCUCAUUAAUGUUGCCUAGACGGAAAAGAUCAGUACCUUGGUCCUUGUACUUGUAGCUCACAUAUGAACCAAUUGCGCGAGAUUCUGGUCAUUCCAUGAAGAACAAAUGGUUAAUACAAGAAACAUCCAACAACAGUUUCAUAUAUGUUAAGCUCAGAUUCAUGUGAAACAACUUACCAAAAAGUGUGACAUCUCCAUCCUCCAAAACUGGAACCUGACCGAAGGGCUGUUUGGCGAAGAAUGCAGGUUGUUUGUGUGCACCGACGCUGAGAUCAAUAGGGAUCAAUUCAUAAUCCACACCCUUCUCAAUCAAACAUGUCAAGACUCGUGCCGUGCAUGUAGACAAAGGUAAUCCAUAAACCUUAACAGCAGCCAUAACUAAAGAUAUAUGUUAACUGGAAAGAUAGAUAUAUAUGCAAUGAAAGACAAAUGAUCAAGCAAGAAAGAGAAGUAGCUAGAUAGAUUGUUGAGAGAAAGAGAUUGAGAUGAGGAAUUUAGAGUAGUGAUGAAUGGUGUUUAUUUAUAGAGAAGUUGAACUAUAUAUAUAGACAUGUAGUUAUGAAUGUAGGAUAGAUCAUUAGAUUGUAUAAACCGUGUUGAAUGAAUAGUAUCCUUCUAGAAAUGUAGCUAAAUAAAAUCAUGACAUGAGCCAAUGUGAGCACAACAUAGUCUUCGUAGGGUGACAUAGCUGUAACAAGGUCACUUUUGAGUCAAUGUAAGAACCUUCAAGUAAGAUAUCAUGCGGCCUACUUUCAAUAUUCGUUGAUUGUUUGUUUGCAUUUGCAAGAACUUUCUGGAAAGAAGGUCUUGAUGAAAUAUCCUCCCACCAAGCCUUGACAUGAGGCCUAGAAUUGAUCAAAGAAGCAGCUGAUGUCUUCAUUAAGAAAUAGGUGUAUGGAAUAUGGUUCUGAUCAGCCAAGUUGUAGGAAUUCCCAGCUAAGUAUUUGUUCUCCGUGAGUCUAGCUUCAUACACGUCCAAAAUUUUUCCAAGCUUUUCGGACUGAGCGUCAACAUCAGCCUGAUCGGUUGUCAUCCCAUACAUACCUUUGAUAAGCAAUUCGUAAACUAAGGUAGAGAUAGGUGGGUUGUACUGCUGUGAUUCAACUUCUGUCCAUACAAGCACCAAUGCGGAUUCCUCGACAUUCUCAUGUCUGAGGAGAUCAGUACCUUGGUCCUUGUACUUGUAGGCCACAUAUUUGGCUAUUGCUCGAGAUUCUGCACAUUAAAUGAAUAUCACAUUGUUACUAUAGUGCAUAUAAUCGGCAUUUUUUUAUCUGACAACCUCUAUAAAGGGACUAAUGCAUUGACAUUCGACAAUAUAUGUAUGGAUUUUUCGACAAAUCAGAACAACUUACCGAAAAGUGUGAGAUCGCCAUCUUCCAACACUGGAAUUUGACCAAAUGGCUGCUUGGCGAGGAAAGUAGGUUGUUUGUGUUCACCCACAGCUAGAUUACGAGGAAUCAAUUCAUAUUCAACACCCUUCUCAAUCAAACAUGUUAGUACUCGUGCAGUACAUGAGGACAAAGGCAUUCCAUAAACCUUAACAGUAGCCAUGGCUAGAGAAAUAAUGUUCUUUGAAAAGAUAGAAAGAAAUAGAAGAACAAAUGUAGGUUUGAGAAGAAGAAAGAGAUAUAGAUAGAGCAGAAAGAGUUGUGGAGAUUUAGAGCAGAGAACCAAGCUUAAUAUAUAGCUAGACUGCUUAGAGGAGUAGUUGUUUAUGUAUUCAACCAUGACAUGCUAUUGAUAAUUGAUGGCAUGAGUGGUCAAACAACGUACCAUGAUUAAUAAUUGCAAUAUUCCAACCAUACUGUAUUUGUUUUCUUCUAGAAAAAAAUUAUAGAAAAAAUAAUAGAUUUUUUUUUAUACAAAUGUGUUUUCAUAUUAUUAACUUUGGAUUAUUUUUAAUUCUUUUUUUUUCAGAAAAUGAUUUGUGUCUGUGAAUGAACUGAAAUAAUUAAUUUUUCUUACUUGGGAUAUUUUGUGAAAUAUUUGCAUUUUUUUUUUUUUUUUGCAAAAAUGCAAAAUAUUCUACCAUAAGAUCAGCUAGCCCAAGAACUUGUUUGGCUGUUGGCUAUGUACACCCACAUGAUUAGGCCCAAAACCGAUAAUUGUGCCGCGAAGUCUUCUCUUAUUUUUCACUCUAUCUCCAUCACUAUCAUCUCUUGCUUGUUCUUCUGAGGAAAUUCUAAAGACAAGCUUUUUUACUGUUUGGGUUGUGUUUGAUUUUUUCACAGUAAUGGAUCUCUAGUGUUUUCUUCUCUACUUUUUCUUCAUUUUUAUUGCAUUCUAAAUCUAAAACUAGCUACUUCUAUGAUGAUCUAUUGAUAUAUAUCUAUGACUUUUUUGCUAUUUAGUAAGUGGGCUUUUAAUCAUUAAUAACAACCCAUUGAAAGUAUUGAGAUUUCCAUUAAAGGGUAUCUUUAAAAUCUAAAAAUGAUUGAGGAUUUUGAGAUCCAAUUGUGACUUGAAAUGCACAAUGUUUUACAUUUCUAAAUAAAUUCUACUGAGGUGAUUAGAAAUUCUGAUGGAAAUCGAUCUUAAAUCUGUUUUUGCAGUAAUGAGGUGUGAUUUCAAUUCACUUGUUAUAUUCUCAGUUGUCCUUCGCAUUGUUCUUAUUAUUUAUGGAGAAUGGCAAGAUACCCAUAUGGAAGUUAGAUACACUGAUGUUGAUUACCUUGUUUUCUCAGGUGCUUCUUCUUUGAUGGCAUCUGGAUUGUCGCCUUAUAAGAGAUCUACAUAUCGUUAUUCGCCUUUACUUGCAUUCCUACUCUUGCCGAAUUCAUUUAUUCAUCGUUGAUGGGGGAAACUUUUGUUUUCUGCUUCAGGUAUUGAAAUCCUUCCUUUAUCUUCCAUAUGAAGUUAACCCAUUACCUACUUUGGGAGGUUUAUACGUUCUUGAUUUUUAUUUGAGUUGGCUUUACCGGUUGAACUUUAUAAUGAGAAUUAGCAUCAACAGAUGACAUAGAUUGAUGAAUGUGCUUAUGUUGCAGAUAUUCUUGUGGGAUUAUUUAUUCGCAAUAUUUUGAAGCUACGCGGUGUUCCGGAGAAUUUAUGCCUAAUCUCUAUGGGAGCAUGGCUCUUUAAUCCAUUUACCUUCACCAUAGGGACUCGUGGGAACUGCGAGCCAAUUGUUUGUGCCAUAGUUCUGUGGAUUAUCAUAUGUAUUAUGAAUGGUGUAAGUUUUGCUCCCUUUGAUAACUUUUAACCUUGAGGGCACUUAUUAGUGAUGAUUAAGUGUUAAUCAUGGACCAUAAGAUUCUUAGUUUUAUGUAGUUGUGAUGACUUUCUUAUGCUGUUCACCUUUUAUACUGAUGUGCAAAACGGUUAACGAUACCAAAAUUUUAUGCCAAAAACAAGGCAUCACCAUAACAGCAUAAAGCCUACAAUGACGUCCAAUAUUGAUUCUGCUGUGCAAAAACUGGGUUUCCCACCAUUAAGCAUUUUUAUUCUUUCGACAAUCCUUUCUUUUCAUAAUAACCUGUUCUCCAAUGUUUAUAGUGUAGCAUCUAAAUGAUACGAUAAGAAAAAAGGUAUAGUUGAAGCUAGAUGAGGCAUCUGACCCGACACUGGCCACCCAACACAACGAACACCUCUUCAAAAUG